CACAAAAAGGCCAACCCACAGAACACCAUGCGAUGGCAGAGAGAUCAGAGUGAUUUAACCAAGAAAUUCCAAGACCUGCCAGCCACCACUAGAAGCCAGAUGUGUGCAAGAAAUCAUUCUUUUCAGAGUCUUAAAGAGGGAGCAAAGUUCUGCUGACACUUUGAUUUCAGACUUCUAGCCUUCAUAACCGAUUUCUGUUUCAACUAAUUAGGGAACAAAGGCUAAGAAUUACUUAAAAGUCACAGACCAAGGACACAGACCCACUGAAAGAGAGAUUUCGUCCUAAGAUUAGAGAAUGCUUCCACUUUCUCAGCCCUUAUCAUCAUACCAACAGGACUUACUGCAGAAAGUCCUGCAAGAUACAAAUUUGAAAAGAAGUACGUAGAGAAGCCUGAAAUCAGCAAAGGAAAUAAAAACAAGGACAUCAGAAGCGUUUGAAGCAUCCUGGCAACACAGCAUCCUGGCAACACAAGCAUCCUGGCAACACAGCAAACAUUAAACACAGCACAAUGCCUAGCCAGAUUAAAACAAAACCUCAAAUUCAAGGCCAAUAAAUGUUCUGUUGUCAACAUA